rnacentral:rRNA from 1 species
GAUGAACGCUGGCGGCGUGCCUAACACAUGCAAGUCGAACGAAGCACCUUACCUGAUUCUUCGGAUGAAAGUUUGGUGACUGAGUGGCGGACGGGUGAGUAACGCGUGGGUAACCUGCCCUGUACAGGGGGAUAACAGCUGGAAACGGCUGCUAAUACCGCAUAAGCGCACGAGGAGACAUCUCCUUGUGUGAAAAACUCCGGUGGUACAGGAUGGGCCCGCGUCUGAUUAGCUGGUUGGCAGGGUAACGGCCUACCAAGGCAACGAUCAGUAGCCGGUCUGAGAGGAUGAACGGCCACAUUGGAACUGGGACACGGUCCAAACUCCUACGGGAGGCAGCAGUGGGGAAUAUUGCACCAUGGGGGAAACCCUGAUGCAGCAACGCCGCGUGAGUGAAGAAGUAUUUCGGUAUGUAAAGCUCUAUCAGCAGGGAAGAUAAUGACGGUACCUGACUAAGAAGCUCCGGCUAAAUACGUG